GCAACACAAACCAGAAAUGGAGACCAUCUGUCUUCAAAGUAAAAAUUGAAACAUGUUGGCUGCAGCACUGAGGCUCAACUUUUACUUUGAAGAUGAACCUUCUUUCAUUUCUGGUUUGUGUUACAGUUUUUCAAGUUUUUAUAUUGCUCAGCUAGUAGUUAACAAGUGUUUGUAGACACAGGAAAAAACUAUAGGCAACUGUGGAAAUAACAACCGAAGCUAUCCCCAGGACCCAGAACUAAUCUCUCUCAGCAACAGCCACUGUUGCUGCUGCCAUCUAGUCAGGGUAAAACACAUUUCCCUAGCAACCAUGGUUGUAACAUGUGUAAUACAACUGACAACUCUUGAUCAAUGUGUGUAGGAUGUCACUCGAGAAACUUUAAUAGACUUUGAAUCAUGGUAUUAACUUGGUUAGGCAUCAAACACCUAGAUCUAGAGACCAGUAAGUGAACCUCUAGAAAUCUCCAAUCACUAGGGAAAAAUUUGGUAUAUUGCCCAAUUCGUUGGCUGCUGCUAGUUGAAAUUGGUCCCAACAAAGGUGCUGCACCAAAGCCCUUUUUGUGAUUGUUUUGGUCACUAGCAUUUUGCUGGGGUCACCUGUAGUUUCCAUGGAGGACGUCAGCUUGUCUACAAAUAUCCACCAUUUAUUCUCCAACCUGUUCAGAAAAUUGAAGAAGUGCAAUGCAAACUGGAAACAGAGACUGUUCACCUUCAGAGUAAAGGUUGGGCCUCACUGCUACAACUAACACAUUUCAAAGGCCCAAUUUUGACUUUGAAGAUGAACAGUCUCCAUUUAUGGUUUCCAUCAUACUUUACCCAGUUAUACUAGAAUUUGGUGAAUACUUUGCCAGUGUUUGCAGACAAGUUGCUGUCUUCCUUACAAAGUGCUAGUGACCAAAGCAAGAAGGUUUUCAGUGCAGCCCCGUAUACCUCUCACAAAUUGCACAGACUUUUCCCUAGCAACUAGUGGGGGUUACUGACUGGUCCAUAGUCCUGCAUGAAUAAGGCCUUAGCAAGUAUGGAGAGUUAGUGCAGUAUCUGUAUAUCAUAUGUUUGUUACUUUCACUAAUGUGCAGGUAUCUGUGUAUCCCAAGGAAAACAUCUAGCUGACCAAGCUAGCUAGCCUUAGCUUAUAACUCUGUGCUACAUAUCCUUAGUUUUUCAGUUCUGUGAGAACAGUACUCUAUAUUCACACUAUUCUCAGCACGUGUGAGCUACUUCAGUUAAUGGCCUUUAUGCACAAUUCAUUAAAUUCAUCUUUAAUUUUUAGCAGCAUUAUCAAUGGUUCUCGAAAAAUAAUAGACAUUAUUGGUCCCAAAAAGUUCAAUCCUAAUAAAACUGGUGGUCACUUGACUUUUCUUUUAGCACCAAUACUUAAUUUAAAUGCUUCUGUAUUUAGUAAACAUUAUAAUGUACUAAAAUUGUGAAAACAGUAAAGAUAACUACUUUACAUUAGCGUGUUAGAGUUUUUUUGUGAACAUUUUAUAACACUGGCAUUAGUUAGAACUUAUGUAAGUCCUUUACAACUCAUUGACUACAUUUACAACUCAACUGUAACCUAGC
ensembl:lncRNA